UACGGAGGGUGCAAACGUUGCUCGGAAUCAUUGGGCGUAAAGCGCACGUAGGCGGCCUGUUAAGUCGGAUGUGAAAGCCCCGGGCUCAACCCGGGAAGUGCAUUCGAAACUGGCGGGCUUGAAUAUGGAAGAGGGUCGCGGAAUUCCCGGUGUAGAGGUGAAAUUCGUAGAUAUCGAGAGGAACACCGAUGGCGAAGGCGGCCAACUGGACAGAUACUGACGCUGAGACACGAAAGCGUGGGGAGCAAACAGG
rnacentral:rRNA from 1 species